rnacentral:rRNA from 1 species
UACGUAGGUGGCAAGCGUUGUUCGGAAUUAUUGGGCGUAAAGCGCACGUAGGCGGCCUUGUAAGUCUCACUGUGAAAGUCCGGGGCUCAACCCCGGGAUGCCAGGGGAUACUGCGAGGCCUGAGACAAGUAGAGGUUGGUAGAAUUCCGGGUGUAGCGGUGGAAUGCGUAGAGAUCCGGAGGAAUACCAGAGGCGAAGGCGGCCAACUGGGCUUGUUCUGACGCUGAGGUGCGAAAGCGUAGGGAGCGAACAGG